GAUGAACGCUGGCGGCGUGCCUAAUACAUGCAAGUCGAGCGAACAGACGAGGAGCUUGCUCCUCUGACGUUAGCGGCGGGCGGGUGAGUAACACGUGGAUAACUUACCUAUAAGACUGGGGUAACUUCGGGAAACCGGUGCUAAUACCGGAUAACAUGGUGAACCGCAUGGUGCAACAGUGAAAGACGGUCUUGCUGUCACUUAUAGAUGGAUCCGCGCCGCAUUAGCUAGUUGGUAAGGUAACGGCCUACCAAGGCAACGAUGAGUAGCCGAUCUGAGAGGGUGAUCGGCCACACUGGAACUGAGACACGGCCCAGACUCCUACGGGAGGCAGCAGUAGGGAAUCUUCCGCAAAGGGCGAAAGCCUGACGGAGCAACGCCGCGUGAGUGAAGAAGGUCUUCGGAUUGUAAAGCUCUGUUAUUCGGGAAGAAAAAAUGUGUACGUAACCAUGCACGUCUUGACGGUACCGAAUCAGAAAGCCACGGCUAACUACGUG
rnacentral:rRNA from 1 species